rnacentral:tRNA from 3 species
GGACCUUUAGCUCAGGUGGUUAGAGCUCCCCGCUCAUAACGGGGUGGUCGUAGGUUCGAGUCCUACAAGGUCCA